AUGGCUGGUCGGUACAAUCGCACAAACUACUCUUCCUACCUGAACGACGAACCAAUGCCUGACGCCACUUCAGAAAAGGAACAGGGUAAUGAGUACUUCAAGCAGAAGAAGUUUGCUGAAGCGGUUGAGUGCUACUCGAGAAGUAUCGCAUUGUCGCCGACGGCUGUUGCCUUUGCCAAUCGAGCUAUGGCGUAUCUUAAACUAAGAAGAUUUGAAGCGGCAGAGAAUGAUUGCACUGAGGCUCUGAAUCUGGAUGACCGUUAUGUUAAAGCAUACUCACGCAGAAUUACUGCAAGAAAAGGACUUGGGAAGCUUAAGGAAGCAAUGGAUGAUGCUGAAUUUGCUGUAAGUGUCGAUGCUAACAAUCCAGAAUUGAGGAAACAAUAUUCUGAGAUAAAGGCACUACUCAUGGAGAAAAUGGCCAAGAGAAGUUCAGUUCAAGCUAAGCAUACAAUUUCUGAAUUUGAUAAAGCUGGGGAUAGAAAAAAUAUCACUUCUCAUGCACCAAGUGAUCCCCAGAAGGACAGUUUCAUGGAAGUUGAUCCGCCUGGGAGAGCUGCGGCUGGGAUCAGAGAAUUAUCAGGUGGUGCGUCCAAAGGAGGAUCUGGUGUAAGCCUCAAAGACAAUAACAUGCAGCAAUCUCGAGAUGCUAAACAGAAACCUGGACCAGAAAUAUCAGUGCAAGAGCUUGCAUCACGUGCUGCUUCACGAUAUAUAUCCAACACUGUAAAAAGUGUGAAGACACCAAAGACAGCUUAUGAUUUUGAGGUUUCUUGGAGAGCUAUCUCUGACGACCUUACCCAGCAAAUACAGUUGUUAAAGUCAAUUCGACCAGAGAGACUUCCAGAGAUUUUUAAGGAUGCACUUUCAUCAGCUUUUCUGAUUGAUAUCGUGAAGUGCACAGCCUCAAUUUUCCGGGAUGAUGCAGUGUUAGCAGUUAGCAUUUUGGAGAAUUUGGCGAAAGUUUCUCGCUUUGACUUGAUCAUCAUGUGCCUCUCACCCAUGCAUAAAUCUGAACUGCGGAAGAUAUGGAGUCAAACAUUCCUUGUUGAAACUGCAUCACCAGAUCAAGUUGAAGCCCUCAGGCGGCUGCAAGCCAAAUACGUUCAAGGAGGAUGGCAUGAUGACAUGUUCACUUUGAGCUAA
rnacentral:rRNA from 1 species